AUCCAGCUGAAGGGUCUCAAAUAGGACGAAACACGUUAAACUGGAU
rnacentral:hammerhead_ribozyme from 1 species